rnacentral:rRNA from 1 species
GACGAACGCUGGCGGCGUGGAUUAGGCAUGCAAGUCGAACGGUAUCAUCCUUUCGGGGGUGAGAGAGUGGCGAACUGGUGAGUAACACGUAGGUUAUCUACCCUCAAGACGGGGACAACCCAGGGAAACUUGGGCUAAUACCGGAUGUGAGCAACUUUUAGUUGUUUGAAAGGUGGCGUAAGCUGUCGCUUGGGGAUGAGCCUGCGUCCUAUUAGUUAGUUGGUGAGGUAACGGCUCACCUAGGUAAUGAUAGGUAGGCGGCCUUAACGGGUGGUCGCCCACACUGGGAUUGAGAUACGGCCCAGACUCCUACGGGAGGCAGCAGUCGAGAAUAGUCUACAAUGGUCGGAAGACUGAUAGUGCGACGCCGCGUGAACGAUGAAUCCCUUCGGGGUGUAAAGUUCUUUUAUAUGUGAGCAGUGCUUCUUAUAUUAACAGUAUGGGGAGAGAGAUAUUAGCAUAUGAAUAAGCAACGGCUAACUCCGUG